rnacentral:tRNA from 1 species
GCCCGUAUAGCUCAAUGGACAGAGCGUCUCCCUGACGGAGAGACAGAUGCCGGUUCGAGUCCGGCUGCGGGCG